rnacentral:sRNA from 1 species
UGCACACCGAAAGGUUGCAGGAUGAGAACCUCCGAAGGAGGUUUGAGCCGAGCGAAGCGAGACAACGUUGCUUUAGCAACGGCCCGAAGGGCGGCUCGAAGAGCCGUAAUCCUCUCUCGCCGACCA